rnacentral:rRNA from 1 species
GAUAAACGCUAGCGGCAGGCUUAACACAUGCAAGUCGAGGGGCAGCAUAGAUUGUAGCAAUACAAUUGGUGGCGACCGGCGCACGGGUGCGUAACGCGUAUGCAACCUACCCGUCACAGGGGGAUAAUCCGGAGAAAUCUGGUCUAAUACCACAUAACAUAUGGAUCGGCAUCGGUUCAUGUUGAAAUUUUCGGAGGUGACGGAUGGGCAUGCGUAGCAUUAGCUUGUUGGUGAGGUAACGGCACACGAAGGCGACGAUGCUUAGGGGGACUGAGAGGUUUUCCCCCCACACUGGUACUGAGACACGGACCAGACUCCUACGGGAGGCAGCAGUGAGGAAUAUUGGUCAAUGGGCGCAAGCCUGAACCAGCCAUGCCGCGUGCAGGAUGACGGCUCUAUGAGUUGUAAACUGCUUUUGUACGAGGGUAAAGUGGGUUACGUGUAACCUUUUGAAAGUAUCGUACGAAUAAGGAUCGGCUAACUCCGUGCCAGCCGCCGCCGUAA